GACCUGAGAGGGUGAUCGGCCACACUGGGACUGAGACACGGCCCAGACUCCUACGGGAGGCAGCAGUAGGGAAUCUUCCGCAAUGGACGAAAGUCUGAUGGAGCAACGCCGCGUGAGUGAUGAAGGCUUUCGGGUCGUAAAGCUCUGUUGUUAGGGAAGAACAAGUGCAAGAGUAACUGCUUGCACCUUGACGGUACCUAACCAGAAAGCCACGGCUAACUACGUGCCAGCAGCCGCGGUAAUACGUAGGUGGCAAGCGUUGUCCGGAAUUAUUGGGCGUAAAGGGCUCGCAGGUGGUUUCUUAAGUCUGAUGUGAAAGCCCCCGGCUCAACCGGGGAGGGUCAUUGGAAACUG
rnacentral:rRNA from 2 species